rnacentral:rRNA from 1 species
GACGAACGCUGGCGGCGUGCUUAACACAUGCAAGUCGAACGGGCCUUGUCCCCUUUUUUUUUGGGGGUGGGGUUAGUGGCGAACGGGUGAGUAACACGUGAGUAACCUGCCCCUCACUUCUGGAUAACCGCUUGAAAGGGUCGCUAAUACGGGGUGUUCUGGCCUGCUCGCAUGGGUGGGUUUGGAAAGAUUCGACCGGUUUUGGUUGUUUUGGUGGGGGAGGGGCUCGCGGGCUAGCAGCUUGUUGGUGGGGUGGUGGGCUGGGAAGGCUUUGACGGGUAGCCGGCCUGAGAGGGUGGGCGGUCACAGUGGGACUGAGACACGGCCCAGACUCCUACGCGAGGCAGCAGUGGGAAAUAGUGCACAGUGGGCGCAAUCCUGAUGCAGCGACGCCGCGUGAGGGAUGGAGGCCUGCGGGUUGUGAACCUCUUUCGCCAGUGAAGAAGGUCCUGCUCUUUGUGGUGGGGUUGACGGUAGCUGGGUUAAUGAAGCGCCGGCUAACUACGUG